GAACACAAGAUUUCUCUGGAACUUCCAUCCCCGUCGUCUGGAAAUCUCUCCUCCUCGGACUCCUCGUUUCUUCCCCGCCCCAUCACCCUAUGGCGGUCGCGAUUGUUGGCUCCGCCGAUCUCCGCCGCCCGUCUCCGCCCGGUGUGUGUGUGUGUUGGGGGGGGGGGGGGGGGGGUUCGAUGGCGGAGAUCGACGCCUAGAAACAUCGAACGGGUGCAGACGACUCCAACGUGCAUCCGGACGUUCGUAUAUCUCGAUCUCGAGCACCGAACGGUUGAUGGAAUAAGAAGCGAAGGGGACGGAAGGCGAAAAGAAAAUGUCAGAGGAAAGAGAGAGAGGCAGUUGCGUGCAGGUGGUUUGGGACGUGCGGAUUUUGAGGUAGAGAAAGGUGUGGCUGAAUGGAUCUGAAUGCAUGUUACUGACGCUUUCAUGUUGCUUGAAAGAUCAGUAGGUGAGUUUCCUGUAGCUGUCAUCAGCAACUACUCGGAUGCUAUGAGGAGACAUGUCUCUACAUAUGCAAUACAUUUUGGUAUUGGGUGUACUAUGCUGACCCGAUAAGGUACCAUUACAAUAAUGGGGCUCGAGAUGUUAGUAUCCUGACACAUGGUACGACUGCUAUCUAGCCUCCAACAAUGUAUCAUAUGCCGACAUAUACCACGGCAAGCUACUAAGUAUGUUAUCCGGUGCCGAGGCUGAAAAUCUUGGAGAAGUUAAUUUAGAUGUGAUGUUCUUUUCUGCUCUUCUACUUGCUUUGUUAAUUUUUAGCUAUCAUAUGUAUUAUGUGGAGUAUUGCAUAAUAAAAUUGAUUUAGAGCCAAAAUUAAAAUCAUCAAUAAUGAUUUUACAACUUAUUGACAUAAGUAUUAUCAUUUGAUUUCAAUGACUUAAGUCCAUCUAUAUAUGAUUAUUUAGGUAGAGACAAGUUCAAUCUCAUGAAUCAAGCCAUAUGUUCACAAGCUUGGACUUUGUAAAUGUGAUGUGUUGCAUCAAGUAUUGAGACAUUUAUGAUCCUUUUUUGGAAAUGACUGAAUGGUCCUUGCUGGUAGGAACGUUCUUUACAGAUUGGAUGAUAUAUGCCAAUCAAUAAGUGUCUUAAUAAACACAUGCAUUCAUUUCUUAAAUUCAACCAUCCAUAUCUGUUAAAAAGGUUUGGCAAUUUUAUUGGCUUGAUCCACUAAGCAUGCUGAUGUAUUAGAAAAUGAGGAAAAUGCUUGUGACUACUUUAUACAUAAGAAAGAUUUUGCUUUAUUUAUUUGCAUAAGCAUCAACUUGCUUCAAUUAAUGAAUGCUACUAAUUCUUUUUAUCUACUAUGUAUAAAUGCUAUGCCUGAAAUUGUCACAUGCUCUAUAAAUCACUCCCUUUUUUGUAAAUAACCUCUCUUGAUUCUAUCCCUCUUUUUGACUAAUACUUUUAAGAGACGCAAUAAAUGUGAAAUAUAUUUAUCAAUUCACAAAUAUAAAAUUUGAUGGUAGAAUGGCUAAUCUAAAAUAUUUCAUUAGCUGAUGGAAUGGUAACCAUCCAUCAAAUACUCCCAAGUCUUGUGCAUAAAGUUUCUUGCUGCAUUAAAUAAAGCUCUUUUGAGGCUUAGUGCCACCUCAUCCCUAAUCCCAACCUAUCUCACCUAUGAUGAAAACUAGGCUUUUGGGCACAUCGAGAUUGUGCUCGUAGAAUUAGGACUUUUAGAUGGGGGCUACAAUGACUAUAAGUGCUGCUUGAUGGGUGGCAAGUGGGUCAGGUUGGAUAUGGCUCGUGUUAGAUGUGGAUCAGGUAAAAAAUUUAUCAUCAUCUUGAAACUGGCUUAUUUAUUAAAUAAAUCAAAAAUUUAAAUUUAAACGUUCAUUCAUUAAAUAGGUUGGGUCAAGUUAGGUUAGCAUAUUUGAAGACUGUGAUAUCCUAUUCCACUGUAAUUCAUUAAGAGAUGAAUUUUGAAGCUAGGGGGUAAGAUGUGGGUGAACGGUCUUUACAUGCUACUAUUCCAUGCUAGAAUGAAGUUAGGAGAAUGCUCCAAUGUCCAAAAAGAGGCCCAAAUGUCAUAAUUGAAGAUAAAGAUAAUUUUCAUGAGUCUACUUAAUAUUAGGUCAUUUGGUUGACUACCAUUUUUUGUUUAGCCCUUGCAUAGUGUUAUAUGUUUGGUCUUGCGCACAAUGUUAUGCACAAACACCUCUUUUGCAUCCACCAAUUUCUGUGCAUGGCUAUAACUAUUUUGCACGCCAUUAUGUUUAAAGGGCCAUGGAUUAAACAUUAAAUGACCAUGGAAAAAUCAAGGGCUAGAAAUAAAACUUUCAGUCAACAGGAACAGAUUGUAAGAUGACAUCCUAACAAAGGACUGCUUAUCAAGUACCCCAAUUGUCAUAUCAAUACAAACCAAUAUUGACAUGAAUCAUGCAAACAAGCAUAUGGGAGCUUUUUUGCAUUCAAUGUUAGGACCUGCUUUUAGGAUUUUUCAGUAGUGUACUACUUUAAUGACUGUAGAAACAUCUCGAACUAGAAGGUUUGGGACGUAUAGAAUCAAACCAGAGCGGAACCAAGAUGGUUCCUGCUAUUGAUUUGAGGCAAGUGUAGAAUUGGUCCGAACCAAAUGGAGCUACCUGGUUCAGCUUGGUUCAGCUAGGUUCAGCUAAAUUAUAACCAGUACAUACUGGUCCUGGGUCAAAAAUUGAGUCAAAAGAGGAGAGAGCCAAGGAAGAGCCUUCCUGACUCUUUCUCCUCUUGAUUGAAUACAGUGAGGACAUGGGAGAGGUGGGGAGUCUGGGAAAGCAUUGAGAGGGGGGAUUUGCAGCCAUUUGCGAGUUUGUUACCUCGAUCUUCCCUAAGGUAGGAUGGCCAGCCUAAUAUCAACAGAGGAUGUGUAUUUGGGUAGCUAUCCAGGUUAGAGCGAUUAGCGGACGUAAGUGUAGGCACAGCAACCAUGUUGGAGUCAAAGUCCCAGCCCAAAUUAUGAAGGAGAUCUCGAUGUUUGCAAGCUCCAAAUACUCCAGAAUGGACUAGUAAUAUGCAUUUUCAAGCUAAAUUUUAUAGAUUAUCUAUUUUUUAAUUUAUAAACUUCUCACAAAGCACAUGACUUAUCGUGCUCCAGGACCACUAUAAAACAAUUUUUUUUGAAAAACAUAGAAAAUGAAGAAAAAAUAAAACCCCAAUUCCAAGUUUUCAAACCUCUAAUCAACACUAAAAACAAAAAAUAAUGAAGAUAAAAAAAUAAAACUCUGAAAUAUCACCAAUUCAGGAUGCUUUUGUAUGUAGUAUCCGUAUCAUACCAUACCAUACCGAUCUGACUUUUGACUAGUAUGGCACCCAGCAUCACUACAGGAAAUCUUGGAUGAUAUCAUCAUGAUGCUAGCCAAAAGUCAUUUUUUUGUUUUAGGUCAAAGGAAAGUGGAAUGAGUAUAGGGAGAAUGGAAGUGAUGGACAAUUUAGGUUGCUAGCCUCAAUGAGAAGCACUAGAUCCAUCAAGGCCUCUAACUAAUCCAGAUGCAAGAUCUAGGAAUAGGGAUGUUCCAGCCAAAAUGAAUAUCAAAAGCACAUUGACUCGAAUACCAAAUUUGUUGCUAGUAACAGUAGGGGUCCACCAUGGUGCAUCAUAUCCAUGACAAUUAUGUAUGGAGUACGUAUGAUGGACAUGCAGUUGCACCAUCAAUUCAUGAGUUUCUUAUAUAUCAAUGGUACGUAUACAACACUUGAAACAUAAUAUCAAUGCAUGAAAAUAUUUAUGUCCAGCCACAACCAUCACCAUGAAUUAUGAUCUUAAUUUUUAAUAUGUACUUAGUUCUAAGCUUCGAACAUUAGCUUGUAUGAUGAACUACUUGAAAAAAAACGUAAAGCAAGUGAUGCAUGGAAACGAAUAUGAGAAUCGGAUUCGAGCGUACAUCCAAGUGUCUAAAAUAGCAAGAGAGAAAAAGAAGGUGCAAACAUACAUAGUAUAAAUUAUAUAUUUGACUGAAAUAUAUAUAUCCAAUAUUCUUCGUUUAAAUAUUAAAAAUAAAUUUUAAAAAUAUAUUAUUUGUUAAGAUCCUUUAGUACAUGUUUGUCAUUCGAACCUCCCAAUUAACCUAUAAGAAUAUAAGAAAUAUAACAUUUUAUAAAAUUAUUUCGAUAUCUACAUCCUUGGCCAAUCAUUGAAAGGAAAGAAUAGUCACUUCCAACACGUAUAUGGAGGGUCAAAUUCAUUACUGAAAGAGUUCAACUCUUUGUCAAGUCUUAAAAGUUGCAACCAUAAAACUUCAUAAGUAUACAAAUGCCUGAUAAGUAUUGACUCAGAUAUGUUUCCAACACAAUUUUCUAUAGACAGACACAAGUGUCCCGAAACACAAAGCACAAUGAUGAAGGAUAAUUAUAUAUUAGUUAUUACAUUUAUUUGAACAAUAUCAAAAAUCAAUCGAAAAUGAUUAGCUGUGAAAAGCAUUUAAUUAAAAAAGCACACUUUAGUAUCUUUUUCAUUGAUCUUUUGAAGGACAUGGUACCUUUCCAUGCUGGUACUCAACAAGCAUGGUAUCAUGAUAACCCCUCAGCAACACAAGCAUAAUAGAUGAUGCUUUAAUACAUGAAAUUUGAUUCAGCAUUGCAACAUAUUAAGAAUUAGCAUUUGACAAUUGACAUGUAUGAUGUAUGCACCUAAUUUUAAUGAAUACAAGAGAAUGUAACGACCCCUUCCGGUGCGUGCAUCCUAUGACAUUGGUAGGACUAUUCAAUGAACCAAUCAAUCGGUAAUUUAUUUUGGGUUUAGGAUUCAUUUACAUGAGAUCUUUAUUUAAUGCACCAACAGGUGGUAGCAUGGAUGGUAUCACCUCCCACCUCCCACCUCUUAGACAAGAGAUGAAGGGUUCGAUUCUAGGUUGGCAAAAUAUGACCGUGCCUGUCAACUCAUCCCGUAUUCGAUCUGCCAUAAAUAUAUUUGGAUUUAGGCUAAAUAAGUUCGGGUCAUAAAUAGAUCAAUUUGUUUAACAUGUUUAACAUUCGAAUUGGGUUCAGAUUUCAGACAUCUGACCCAUUUAACCCAUUUAAUAUUCUGAUCGAGUUAGAUCAAGUAAUCUAUUUAACACAUCUAGCCCGUUUAAGACCUAUUUAGCCUGGUUAAAACUUACUUAACCUAUUUCUAUUCUGUACUAACUCAGUUUUUGCAAUUAGUCUAUUCACACAUGAUGAUUACUCCCAGUUCUACAAAACAUGUUGGCCAUGCUUUGGCGUGUAUUCUUACAAAUAGGCCUGCAAACAAGCCAAGUACUAAGCUGCUCAGAUGCAGCUAAUUUAUGAAAGGCUAUUGAAGCUCGAACAAUCUGUACUCAAGCUUGCCCUGUUUGCUUGUUCUUGAGCCAAGCCCGAACUUCCAAGCCCAAUGUUGAGGCUCGGCUUUUUUAUGAGUUAAGUUUUAAAUGAUGUUUAAGCUUAACUCAUUUAGUUGAACAAGAUCCGUAGAGCUUAUUAGCUAGCCUAGCAAAGUCGUUCAUGAAUGGUUUGCUUGCUCUGCGUCUACUUGUAAACCAUUUUGACGGUUUUGGAGGCCAUCUUUGUGAUUGCGUUUGUUUUGAAAAGAGAAAACAAAAAAUACCAGUUAAAGGAGACUAUCUCUUUUGGAAUUCAGUUUGCUACUUGAAUACGAAAAUUUUUGCAACAAUAACCAUAAUUGCAAAAAAUUAACACUGCAUUUCUGAUAGAUUUAUGAAUCAUACUUGCUAUUGAUUCUUACAAAGAUUUUGUUUCGGUGCUUCUCAAAUUCCAUACUCUUAGUUUUACCUGAGCAACCCUAGCUAUCCACUCUAAAGUAAAUUGCCAAGAUAGCUCAAUCUUUAACCUGAUACCACUGGUUGCACCAACUCAAAGUGUGAAUUGUAAGUACCAUAAAUUCCCAACCCAAAGUAUGAAUGGUAAGUACCAUAAAUUCUUAAUCUUCAUUGGUUAUUUUUUUACGGGUGCAAUCGAGCCGAGCUGAGUCGAGUGGCUGGAGGCUCGGGCUCGACUCGAUUCAAAAUACUCAAGCUCAAAAGUCGACUUGAGAUUAAUCAAGCUUUAAUGUCCUAGCCUGAACUCAAUUCGAUUAAAAAAAACAAUACUCGAGAUCGACUCAACUUGACUCGAAUAUCAACCGAGUUAUACUCGAGUUCGAGUUCGAGCUUUAGUCAUAAUUAAAAAAUAUAAUUAAAAGCUAAGAGUUAGAUCAGAUUAAAAAAUUAAAUAUUAUAUUUAAAAUAUUAAAUUAAGAGUAUAUUAUAAAUAAAAUAUAAUAUUAUUGAAAAUAUAUAUAUUCGAUUAAGAUUGCAAUCCUUCGAGUCGAGUAUUUUGCUACUCGAGCUCAAUUCGAAAAACUAUUCAAAUUCCUCGAGCUCAACUCAAGCUCGUUAAUAGUCCAAUCGAGUCGAGCUCAAAUAUGAAUUAAGCUCGAAUUCGAGUCGAGCACGAGCAGCUCAAGAGCUGCUUUGCUUAUUUAUGUUUUUUUUUUUUUUUUAAUUAAGUGUAACCCACAAAGUCGAGGAAAAGAAGAUGACAUAAAGGUGGAGGGGCGGCGACAAAACAUAUCCAAAGAACCUCUCCCAUAUAGUGAGCAACGAUGGAGGCAACCCAGUCUGCAGCUCUGUUUGCCUUCCGAUACACAUGAGCAAUCUAAAAUGAGUCACGGUCUCUCGCUGUCCUGUGGAUAUUUUUGAGCAGUGGGUAGACAUUGCCCCUCUGCUCCUCAUUCCGAAUCCACUCGACCAUCGCCGCUGAGUCUCCUUCCAGAAUCAUGUCAACCCCUAGAAUAUACUUCAUACCCUUCUAAGCUCCACCCCAUUGGCUGUCAUAUAACAUGUGUAACACCUCGUCAUCUCUUUUUUUUUUGCUUAACGCUUUUUCUUUUUUUUUUCGAAUGGAGUGAUUACCGUUAUCUUUCUCGUGCCAGUUCGGGAUGGUGAUAGCAGCAAUGCAGGCGACCGGUUUUGAAUGCCGCCAGUGAUGCCGAUUGCAAUGGAGAAGGGGUCGCGGACGACUGGAUCCUUGCUAAGUACCUCGAGAGCUCCCCCAAAAUCCUCGACCUCACCCUAUCGGAGUCCCGCUUUCUGACAAGUGCCCCCGUCAAGGCCCUACUGGAGGUGGACCUGGUGGUGGUCCUUGCUGAUAGGGAGGCCAUGGAUUUCUGGGUGCUCGCCGCCGACAGAGAUCAAUGCAAUUCCGAUUGGCGAUGGCGGCGAGGUGGCGGCGGUAGGGGAAGUCCAAGAGGCGAUCAAGGUCCACGAUGUGGUGUUUGGGGUUUUCGGCAAGGGGAGGGAGAUGGGGAGGUGGUUGGGGUGGGAUCGGAGUGGACUGUUAUGGGAGCCGGCAACUAAUGAACCUAAGAGGACGAGAGGGUUUUUGGGACGAAGAUGAGUUUCCGGAUUAAAAAAAGGAACGAAAAGGGGGAAUCUAUGCUGGAAAAGAAGUGUCACAAAUUAUUCGUAUGUUAAGGUACAAUAAGAGUAUGCAGCAUCUUGGUAAUUUGCA